rnacentral:rRNA from 74 species
ACGGGUGAGUAACACGUGGGAACGUACCCUUUGGUUCGGAAUAACGCUGGGAAACUAGCGCUAAUACCGGAUACGCCCUUUUGGGGAAAGGCUUGCUGCCGAAGGAUCGGCCCGCGUCUGAUUAGCUAGUUGGUGGGGUAAUGGCCUACCAAGGCGACGAUCAGUAGCUGGUCUGAGAGGAUGAUCAGCCACACUGGGACUGAGACACGGCCCAGACUCCUACGGGAGGCAGCAGUGGGGAAUAUUGGACAAUGGGCGCAAGCCUGAUCCAGCCAUGCCGCGUGAGUGAUGAAGGCCUUAGGGUUGUAAAGCUCUUUUGUCCGGGACGAUAAUGACGGUACCGGAAGAAUAAGCCCCGGCUAACUUCGUGCCAGCAGCCGCGGUAAUACGAAGGGGGCUAGCGUUGCUCGGAAUCACUGGGCGUAAAGGGCGCGUAGGCGGCCAUUCAAGUCGGGGGUGAAAGCCUGUGGCUCAACCACAGAAUUGCCUUCGAUACUGUUUGGCUUGAGUUUGGUAGAGGUUGGUGGAACUGCGAGUGUAGAGGUGAAAUUCGUAGA